GUGCUUGCUUCUGCAGCACAUAUACUAAAAUUGGAACAAUACAGAAAAGAUUAGCAUGGCCCCUGCUGGAGGAUAGAUUAUAGAAUGAAUGAGUACUUCAUUCACUUU
ensembl:snRNA U6 U6 spliceosomal RNA